UGUUCAAUGAUCUAAUUUAUAUGAUACUUCACUGAAUGUGUGUAUGGAUGCCACACAAGAUAGCUAAGUCAACUUGCUAGAUAUUAUAGUCUAACUUUACAGGAUUCUUAGAAGCAGCCAAUCUACAUAAGGAAGGUUCUGCGUAAGUUUUCGAAGUACUAGAUUGGAAUUGCACUUAUCAAGCUGGUUUAGUUAGAGGAGGGAAAUUUGGUGAAAGAAACUGUUGCUAAAUGCAAUACCUGACGCCAUAAAAAACCUUGGUUUGGUUUUCAAUCAUGGCGCAGCAUGGCACUGGUAGGAACUAGGAAGGAAUUGGUGAUGCGCUUGUGAUAUGGUCAAUGUGCGGUAUGUUCAGUCCUGGACAUUUGCUGGUUUGUUUCUCUAAAUAUCGGUUGACAUGUGAUUAUUUAGCAUAGUAGGUGAUGAAUUCAUCGGCCAUGUCUUAGAUUAAUGCCAAGAGUUCCACUUUAAUUUUCUAUGAGUUUGAGUGAGAGCCUUUUGCUCGCCAUCAUCUUAUCAUGUUUUGCACGUAUACAGAUUAUUUCUUCCUCAACUUCUGAUAUCUCUGAGAAUUGAGCCUAAUGCUUGGCUGCGUUGUAAGGUUUAAGAAAAAAUGAAGUUUGUCAUAUAUAUGUGUGUGUGUGUUUACUUGAGAAGACAAAGCUUUGAACUGAACUAGGCUUCAACCUGUCAGCUUUGCUGGGAUGAGGCUCCAUUUGCUUUUAAAACCAAAAUUUUAAUUUCUUGGAAACAAAA